GGGCAAAUCCCUAAGUACGAUCCGGAAGUCCACCACCUAUUUUUGACACACAACUUAGUGCACCAAUUUCACAUAAUCAGGCUCAUAAACGACGCCGCACCUACGCACAAACUCAAACCCCACCGCGGGUUACAUCUCUCCCCAUACCCACCAAACUGCAGCGGCGCUGCUUAAUAAUUUCAUAACUUUAAAAUUAUGACAGCAGUGGAAACAAACAAAAACUCCAGAGGCAUCUACAUAAAAUUCCCCACAAGUUUUGUAUACAAUUUUUAAUUAAAUUCCAAAAACUAAUUAGCCCAAAACAGUCCACAAGAUGAACCCUGUAAUCUGUUUUUUUGUCUUUUGGACAGCGACAUACCCGGAUUCAAACAGCGAUAUCUUUUAAAAUAUAAUUCCAAAUCAAGCGCAUAAGUACUCAUUGGAAAGAUAAGACAAAGCCCUACGUGAUUAUCAUACUGGUUAACACUAAUUACUCACGAAAAAUUCCCAGAAACUGCUAAUACUACUGCUGUUCACCCACCUGAAAAAUCUGUUUUUUUGGACAGCAACAUAACCGGAUUCAAACAACGAUAUCUCCUAAAUUAUAACUCCGAAUCGAGCGCAUAAGUACUCGUUGGAAAGGUAUGACAAAUCUCUACAUGAUUCUCCCACUGAUCCCCACUAAUUGCCCACGAAAAAUUCCCAGAAAUACCUAGAACUACUGCUGUUCGCCCUCCCACAAAAAUUCUGGACAGCACCUCUACCGAUUCGCAUAGAUAAACAUAUAAUCAAUUGAAUUUUAGCGCAAAAACAUAGAUAACUUCAAGAUCACCUUGAGUUCCACCUUUUUCCUCCUUCCUUCCUUCCUCCCACCAAUUCUCCAAUUGAAACUCGCACCCAUACGAAGAAGAUCCGACGAGGAAGAACGACACAUGGAGAAGAGGAGAUGGGGGGUGGCGGCUAGGGUUGAGGAGAUGGCUGCUGCAAAAAAACUUGAGAAUGGAGAGGGGGCGGCUGCAGCACUUGGGGAAGAGAGAAGAGGGAAGAGGGGGGAGGGUGACGGCCAAAGGAGGGAAAGGGGGGCUGCCCACAAGGGGCCUUAAGAGAGGGGACGGCUAGGGUUUUGGGGGGGGAGUGGGCUUCCCACCGCCGGAUCGC
rnacentral:lncRNA from 1 species